CUCCGGGUGGUCUAGUUGGUUCAUGGCGUCCGACUGUAAAUGUUCAGUUCAUCGGAAUGUCGCGUGUUCGAUUCACGCCCUGGAGA
rfam:Drechmeria coniospora strain ARSEF 6962 chromosome 01, whole genome shotgun sequence.